rnacentral:misc_RNA from 1 species
GAUGAAGAACGCAGCGAAAGGCGAUACGUAAUGUGAAUUCCAGAAUUCAGUGAAUCAUCGAAUCUUUGAACGCACAUUGCGCCCGCCAGCACUCUGGCGGGCAUGCCUGUUCGAGCGUCAUUUCAACCAUCAAGCCCCAGGCUUGCGUUGGAGCCCUGCGGCUGCCGCAGCCUCCUAAAAGCAGUGGCGGGCUCGCUAUCACACCGAGUGCAGUAGAUUACUCUUCGCUCAGGGCGUGCAGCGGGUUCCGGCCGUGAAACCCCCUACUUUUAAAGGUUGACCUCGGAUCAGGUAGGAAUACCCGCUGAACUUAAGCAUAUCAAUAAGCGGAGGA